rnacentral:rRNA from 1 species
AUUGAACGCUGGCGGCGUGCCUAACACAUGCAAGUCGAGCGGUAACAGGUGUAGCAAUACAUGCUGACGAGCGGCGAACGGGUGAGUAAUGCUUCGGAAUCUACCCAAUGGUGGGGAAUAACCAGCCGAAAGGUUGGCUAAUACCGCAUACGUCCCACGGGAGAAAGCAGGGGAUCGCAAGACCCUGCGCCAAUGGAUGAGCCGAAGUCGGAUUAGCUAGNGGUAGGGUAACGGCCUACCAAGGCGACGAUCCGCAGCUGGUCUGAGAGGACGACCAGCCACACUGGGACUGAGACACGGCCCAGACUCCUACGGAGGCAGCAGUGGGGAAUAUUGGACAAUGGGGAAACCCUGAUCCAGCGACGCCGCGUGUGUGAAGAAGGCCUGCGGGUUGUAAA